GUGCAGCAGGCGAGAAUUUUUCUCAAUGGGGGAAACCCUGAAGGAGCGACGCCGCGUGGAGGAUGAAGGUCUUCGGGUUGUAAACUCCUGUCAUUUGAGAACAAGUGGCCGAACGUAACUGCUUCGGCCUUGAUAGUAUCAGAAGAGGAAGGGACGGCUAACUCUGUGCCAGCAGCCGCGGUAAUACAGAGGUCUCAGGCGUUGUUCGGAUUCAUUGGGCGUAAAGGGUGCGUAGGUGGCGCCGUAAGUCGGGUGUGAAAUUUCGGAGCUUAACUCCGAAACUGCAUUCGAUACUGCGGUGCUUGAGGACUGGAGAGGAGACUGGAAUUUACGGUGUAGCAGUGAAAUGCGUAGAGAUCGUAAGGAAGACCAGUGGCGAAGGCGGGUCUCUGGACAGUUCCUGACACUGAUGCACGAAGGCCAGGGGAGCAAACGGGAUUAGAUACCCGCGUAGU
rnacentral:rRNA from 1 species